rnacentral:rRNA from 1 species
GACGAACGCUGGCGGCGUGCUUAACACAUGCAAGUCGAACGGAAAGGCCCUGCUUUUGUGGGGUGCUCGAGUGGCGAACGGGUGAGUAACACGUGAGUACCCGGCCCUGGACUUUGGGUAACCUCAAGGAACCUGGGUCCAAAACCGGUUCGAUGCUCCUGUGCCAGGGUGGGGUUGGGAAGGUUAGGCGGUUGGGGAUAGGCUCGCGGUUUAUCAGCCUUGUGGUGGGGGAGUUGCUUUCCAAAGGUUUGUAGGGUAGCCGGCCUGAGGAGGGGACCCGACACAUUGGGACUGAGAUACGGCCCAGACUCCUACGGGGGGCAGCAGUGGGGAAUAUUGCACAAUGAGCGGAAGCCUGAUGCAGCAGCGCCGCGUGCGGGAUGACGGCCUGCGGGUUGUGAACCGCUUUCGCCUGUGACGAAGCGUGAGUGACGGUAAUGGAUGAAGAAGCACCGGCUAACUACGUG